UACUACAACUGAAAGAGAGAAAGGGAGACAACUUGGUAACAGAAGUGACAUCCAGAUAGGAGAUCUUAAGUCUUCAACUGAUCCUACUUGGGAAGAAAAAUGAAGAGAUUGAUUCAUGAUUUAUUCCUGCUCCUGUGGCUGCAGCUGCACUUGCUGAGCCAAGGAGAGAAGGUGGAGCAGAGUCCUUCUGUCCUGAGUGUGCAGGAGGGAGACAGCUGUGUCAUCAACUGUACUUACACAGACAGUGCCUUCUCAUACUUCCCUUGGUACAAGCAAGAACCAGGACAGGGUCCCCAGCUUAUUAUAGACAUCCGUUCAAAUCGGGACAGAAAUGAAAAUGGAAAACUCCUGGUCUUAUUGAAGAAGAAUGACAAACGCCUUUCCCUGCUCAUCAAAGACACUCAGCCUGGGGACUCAGCUGUCUACUACUGCGCAGCAAGUACACAUUGCUCCCCAGGCACCUGCAGCCCGUCCUCAAACCUGCCUCUAGGAUUGCAGCCCACAUCUUUCCUUGCCAUAGCCCUUCCAGCCCAGUCAUUUGCCUAUUGUUUGCAAGUGGCAGCUAACACAGAUACUAAGAAUAAAUAUUAA